rnacentral:rRNA from 1 species
UACAGAGGUCUCAAGCGUUGUUCGGAUUCAUUGGGCGUAAAGGGUGCGUAGGCGGCGCGGUGAGUCGGGUGUGAAAUCUUGGAGCUUAACUCCGAAACUGCAUUCGAUACUGCCGUGCUUGAGGACUGGAGAGGAGACUGGAAUUUACGGUGUAGCGGUGAAAUGCGUAGAUAUCGUAAGGAAGACCAGUGGCGAAGGCGGGUCUCUGGACAGUUCCUGACGCUGAGGCACGAAGGUCAGGGGAGCAAACGGG